GACGAACGCUGGCGGCGUGCUUAACACAUGCAAGUCGAACGGAAAGGCCCUGCUUGCAGGGUACUCGAGUGGCGAACGGGUGAGCAACACGUGGGUGAUCUGCCCUGCACUUCGGGAUAAGCCUGGGCAACUGGGUCUAAUACCGGCUAGGAGCCAUUUUUAGUGUGAUGGUUGGAAAGUUUUUUCGGUGUUGGAUGAGCUCGCGGCCUAUCAGCUUGUUGGGGGGGUAAUGGCCUACCAAGGCGGCGACGGGUAGCCGGCCUGAGGGGGUGGACGGCCACAUUGGGACUGAGAGACGGCCCAGACUCCGACGGGAGGCAGCAGUGGGGAAUAUUGAACGAUGGGCGCAAGCCGGAUGCAGCGACGCCGCGUGGGGGAUGACGGCCUUCGGGUUGUAAACUCCUUUCGCUAGGGACGAAGCUUUUUGUGACGGUACCUAGAUAAGAAGCACCGGCUAACUACGUG
rnacentral:rRNA from 1 species